rnacentral:rRNA from 1 species
GACGAACGCUGGCGGCGUGCUUAACACAUGCAAGUCGAACGGUGAAGCGAGUGCUUGCACUCGUGGAUCAGUGGCGAACGGGUGAGUAACACGUGAGUAACCUGCCCAUCACUCUGGGAUAAGCACUGGAAACGGGGUCUAAUACUGGAUACGACCAACCCUUGCAUGGGGUGUUGGUGGAAAGAUUUAUCGGUGAUGGAUGGACUCGCGGCCUAUCAGCUUGUUGGCGGGGUAAUGGCCCACCAAGGCGACGACGGGUAGCCGGCCUGAGAGGGUGACCGGCCACACUGGGACUGAGACACGGCCCAGACUCCUACGGGAGGCAGCAGUGGGGAAUAUUGCACAAUGGGCGAAAGCCUGAUGCAGCGACGCCGCGUGGGGGAUGACGGCCUUCGGGUUGUAAACCUCUUUCAGCAGGGAAGAAGCGAAAGUGACGGUACCUGCAGAAGAAGCACCGGCUAACUACGUG